UACGUAGGUGGCAAGCGUUGUCCGGAAUUAUUGGGCGUAAAGCGCGCGCAGGUGGUUUCUUAAGUCUGAUGUGAAAGCCCACGGCUCAACCGUGGAGGGUCAUUGGAAACUGGGGAACUUGAGUGCAGAAGAGGAAAGUGGAAUUCCAAGUGUAGCGGUGAAAAUGCGUAGAGAUUUGGAGGAACACCAGUGGCGAAGGCGAACUUUCUGGUCUGUAACUGACACUGAGGCGCGAAAGCGUGGGGAGCGAACAGG
rnacentral:rRNA from 1 species